UUAGUAUACUGGGAAGAAGAGAUGCAGCGAAGAGGACAGAAAAAAACUGCAAUCCCACUCAUUAACAGCCUAGCAAUAUCUGUUGAUUUCUGAAGCCUGCUGGUAUUUGUGCUGCAAUGCUUAAGAUUAUUCACAAGCCUGAUCUGCCAUUUGCCUCUGAUGAAAUCGGAAUUAGAAUGUCCAGUAUUUGUUUUGAAGCAACCAAGGAAUGGAAUAAUAUUCCACUGUACAUAGACGCUUCUCUUAAUGGACAAAUCUUCAGAUUUACAUGGAUCUCAAGAACAGAACGAAAAGGAUUUUCUACUGUGUAUAUUCAAUGUGUGAGCCUUCUAAUGCAGUAGGUGAUUUAGCGGAUGGCUGAGAAUCCUGUGACUGACAUUUUAAGUGC